ACCUACGGGGCGCAGCAGUAGGGAAUCUUCCACAAUGGGCGAAAGCCUGAUGGAGCAACGCCGCGUGGGUGAAGAAGGUCUUCGGAUCGUAAAACCCUGUUGUUAGAGAAGAAAGUGCGUGAGAGUAACUGUUCACGUUUCGACGGUAUCUAACCAGAAAGCCACGGCUAACUACGUGCCAGCAGCCGUGGUAAUACGUAGGUGGCAAGCGUUAUCCGGAUUUAUUGGGCGUAAAGGGAACGCAGGCGGUCUUUUAAGUCUGAUGUGAAAGCCUUCGGCUUAACCGGAGUCGUGCAUUGGAAACU
rnacentral:rRNA from 1 species